rnacentral:rRNA from 1 species
UACGUAGGGUGCAAGCGUUGUCCGGAAUUAUUGGGCGUAAAGAGCUCGUAGGCGGUUUGUUGCGUCGGCUGUGAAAUCCCGAGGCUCAACCUCGGGUCUGCAGUCGAUACGAGCAAACUAGAGUGUUGCAGGGGAGACUGGAAUUCCUGGUGUAGCGGUGAAAUGACGCAGAUAUCAGGAGGAACACCGGUGGCGAAGGCGGGUCUCUGGGCAAUAACUGACGCUGAGGAGCGAAAGCGUGGGGAGCGAACAGG